rnacentral:rRNA from 1 species
UACGAAGGGGGCGAGCGUUGUUCGGAUUUACUGGGCGUAAAGGGCGCGCAGGCGGCCAUUUUUGUCAGGCGUGAAAGCCCCGGGCUCAACCUGGGAAUUGCGCUUGGGACGGGAUGGCUAGAGAUCGGGAGAGGAGAGUGGAAUUCCCAGUGUAGCGGUGAAAUGCGUAGAUAUUGGGAGGAACACCAGUGGCGAAGGCGGCUCACUGGACCGGUACUGACGCUGAUGCGCGAAAGCGUGGGGAGCAAACGGG